rnacentral:rRNA from 1 species
GAAUUUUGGACAAUGGGCGAAAGCCUGAUCCAGCCAUGCCGCGUGUGUGAAGAAGGUCUUCGGAUUGUAAAGCACUUUAAGUUGGGGGGAAGGGCAGUAAGCGAAUCCCUUGCUGUUUUGACGUUACCGACAGAAUCAGCACCGGCUAACUUCGUGCCAGCAGCCGCGGUAAUACGAAGGGUGCAAGCGUUAAUCGGAAUUACUGGGCGUAAAGCGCGCGUAGGUGGUUUGUUAAGUUGGAAGUGAAAGCCCCGGGCUCAACCUGGGAACUGCAUCCAAAACUGGCGAGCUAGAGUAGGGCAGAGGGUGGUGGAAUUUCCUGUGUAGCGGUGAAAUGCGUAGAUAUAGGAAGGAACACCAGUGGCGAAGGCGACCACCUGGGCUCAUACUGACACUGAGGUGCGAAAGCGUGGGGAGCAAACAGG